CAGAGCCGGGGAGCGGGACCCGGGGGACCCUCCCCUCGACGGGGCUGAGCUAGCGGGAGCGCUGCUGCAAAACCGACAUCCGAAAACCCAACAAAAAACCCCAGCCCCGCAGCCCCCGAAAGGGGAAGAGCUACGUAGGACCUGUAGUAGGAGGCUGGUCCCUUCUGACUUUCAGGAAGAGAGAUUUCAAGAGUUGGAGGCAGAAAUUAAAUAAUUCAGAACUCGGAUUAAAGAACAAAAAGGUCUGUUCACAAAUGGAAUACGAGAUGCAAAAAUGGCAGUUUCCUGCAGGUAUCAAACGUGGAUCUUCACUUGAGACUGUCCCUGAAAGGCACGCAGACGAAAACUUAACCCUUUUCUCUUAGUUACGUUUCCUAAAGAAACGGUGGAAUUAGCGUGGCGUUUCUGCAUCGGUUGGCCACGUGGCUGAAGACGGACCCAUGUCUAGUAACUGAUGGCGAGGGAGUUGCAGUGCGCGGAGAAAACAGAUCCUUGCAAAUGGUGAAUAUUGUGGCGAUAAAUGCAAAUUAAAUCACUGGAGAAAUGUUGCCCUCGAGUUAGAGCUGCUGCGUCUCUUGUUUGGAAGCAGUUGGGUGAUCUGAAUCAGGUUGGUGUGCAGCAGCGUCAAGGUAACCUGCUGCUGCCGGCCCCUUUUGAGUUUGUCGGUUUUUUUGGUGUCAUCAUCACCUCCAUCACAAACCAACCCUCUGCUGGAGAGCAGGAAAACGGGCGGCACGUUCCCGUGGGGAUGGCAUGCAGUUCUCUUUAGGAUCUUGCUUAAUGUUCCUGGGGGUGUGUGUAUGUAUCCGUGUCAGAGGAGGCAGUUUGUCCUGCCGUACCUUUUUGCCCAGCAGUGUCGCAUGAGUAAGUUUAGCUUGAGUCUGGAGUCUAGGUCGAAUCUGCAGGGUGAGUGGAAGAGGUUAUAAUACCAUUUGGGAACUUCACAAACUAUUGAAGAAUUUUGACAGUAAAUGAAAGUCUCAAAAUGUCGUUGUAGCUUUUUAGGACAGGCAGAUGCACGGGUAAAAAGUACUGUUUCUUACUUUGAGCAGAGCGGUGUAACUUGUUACUGUCGAGCUGGGGGAUGAAAAUCUCAAGCCAAAUCUUGCUCACACGUUUCUGUUUUUUUUAAAAUCUCGUCCUGGUAUUGCAUCAUAUGGGAUUAAAGUAAGCAUGGAGUAUUAGUUCUGUGCAUGCUGUGACUAAUCGUUUAAGGUAAACCAUUGAUCUUAAAACAUUACAAAAUUUGUAACAAAAUCUGGAAAAAAUAAGUAGUAACGAGCAGCAUUUGAAUACGGAAGCACUUCUAUUAUUGAAUUAGAAACAGGUGGAGUUGUUGGCAUCUUCUAGUUGGAUCUGAUUGUACCAGAACACCAGUUGAUGUGCUUUAAGUGAGGGAGGUAACAUGCUUCACCAGAAACGAAUUAGCCAUCACAUCUUAGUGUUUAAUUCUGUUUAUCUUUGCAGGUUACUGUAGAACUUGUAGUUUCUGCCUAGAAGUAGGCAGUGCUUUACUAUUUAUCAUGGUAGUUAAAUGUAUAUCAAGAAAAGAGUCUCUAGCUACUCUAAAUAUGUUCCUGCUGCCCCCCACCUGAGCAGAGAUGUGUAGUAAAAGCAGCUCGGUAGUUCUGCAGGAAGAUGCAAUGCGGAGAGCUGAGAGGGAUGUGAAAGCCAGGGCACCGCUGCCAAUAUACUGUGGGAGCCGUGCUUCCCUGCUGCAGGAAGGCUUUGGCUGUUUGUGGUGGCCCUGAACGUCCAACACGCGUGACCUAGAAGGGCCCUUGAUGGGUGGAGAGUUUGGCUUUCACAGGAUUCCUUGAAUCUUGUUCCUUGAGUCCUCCUGUUCCUUGGAAAGAGAUUUCUGAAAACAUUUCUAGCCCUCUUUCUGUAAAUGAAGUAAUGCCCAUCUGAACAUGGCAGAAUUAGUGCGUGUUUCAAUCACUCUACUUUUAUGCCAAGUUUGUGGUUAAUUGGAUAAUGCAUUGAGAAAUGCAGUAGUGAGGAUCUGGAAAAUGGUAAUGGUUGGGGUUUUUUUGAAAAAAGAUUGCACUGCUUGGCUGCAUGUAACAAUACCAAGUAAGUAAUGGGUGAAACGUUUGCUAUAGAAGAAAUUACAUGCAAUCUAAAAUUCCAUGUGAACAAUUACUCUUUAUUUGCAAGCUGAUUUGUAAUGCAAAAAGUGGAUGUAGAAAAAUGCAUAAUCCAGAGUUUCAGUUUGAUCACAUUGAGGCUGAAAAUAAAGGCAGUUUAUUUAUUGGAUAAAGAACAGAUAACAUAUAUAGAUGCUUAGUAUUUUUUAAGUCGCCAGGCAGGCAGCACCCAUGGACUUGUGGCCCUUCUUAUAUAAGCAGGGUAAUAAGUUCCCACCUUUUACAUUCAGGUUUCUCUUGCACGUGUUCUUUACGUUUUACGCUUUGCUUAUCUUUGUGUUUGGCUGUUGCCUAUAUCCUUCAGGGGUGAGGUGUUGAAAAUAUGAUGUUUUCUGCGCAGAGAAUACAGUGAUGGUGUUCCAGCAUUGCAUGAAGGAGUAGGGGGGCAGAUGUGAAGCCGAGGGGGGGAAAGCUGAGACGGGAUCGAUAGCAGAGGGCAGGGAGUCUAGGACAAAGAGAUUUGUACAAGAGUGCUCAAAUGUGAGAUUGUAGGUGUGAUGUUGGAUUUACCAGGAAAGAUAGAGAGAACUGCACGAUCAGAAUAGUUAAUGUUUUUAAAUUAGUAAAGAUAAGGUGAAUCUUACUCCUUUUGUGACAUAUAUGUUCUUAGCCUGGUUGUUUCUGGUUUGACAAGGCAAAGAAGUAAUUUCUGCUUUUAUUGUUAGUUAUAAUGAAGAAGAUACAGUAUAUUACAUUGUUCGGGUUGCAGAGAACGUGGAUAUCCAGACAGAUAGCUGAAUGUUAACAGCAGAAGGGUUUUAUUAAGAUCAGACACGGAGCGUGCAGACGUUGGGUGUGGGUUGGUGGGGUGUAGCAGUGCUCUCCCCCAUUGUCAAGCAGUGCUGGCAUUCCCAGGAAGGCAGUAAGGAAUUUGUUUGAUUGACCGUGGUUCCCUGAUCAUGCUUCUGUUUUGACUCUAGCAAGGUAGAGCAGUUCUUACUACGCUGUUACUUGGUCACUUCUGUGCCUUAGCAUUUAGCUAUGUGCCUUUAGUAUAGCAUGAGUAAAGGCAUUUUUCGCCAGGAGGUUGCUGAAGCCAGGGGAUGGCUCUGCGCAGCCGUAGGGUUGAAGUUGGAGCCUUUCAGACUCACGUUUUAUCUAACAGCUUUUUGCCUUGCUGGCGGUUCGCUCGCUUUCUUGCCUUGUGAUAAUUUAAUGCCUUUUGUUGGCAGUUGGGGUAAUAAGGAAGUUUCUGCCAGGGCUGGAGCCAGGCUGGCGUUUCACAUGGGGGAAGGAGGGGAGCCGGAGCUGGGGUGGUGCUUGACCUGCCCGGGGAGAGCAGAGGUAGAGCUCACCCUUCCUCUGACAAGUUCUGAAGCAGGUGCACAGAAAUGCUUAAGCUGCUGUAUUGAGAUGCCUUUAAACUCCCCUCGUAUCUUUGUGUUCCUGGCUGCGAGGUUUUAGCGGCGUGUAAGGAUGAAGGCCGUGUCUCCGAGGCUUUUUCAGAGGAGUCCAUAACAUUAGAGCUGAGCAGAUCCUGUUGUUCCUAUGUUGUUCCUAUCAUGGGUGUGGAACCGUACCUUUAGUGGGUAGGCAAGCUUGGAGGUGGCAGCAUCUGGCCGUGCCAGGGUGAGAUUUCUGUGAAUAGUGUGGGAAUUUAGGCUAAAGCCUUGGUGAACAGCUGGACGAUGGCCAGCGGGGCCAGAGCCCUGGUUUUGCUGGAUGUAGGGAUGUUGUGUUUGGCCGGUGGUCGGGUGAGCCAUUGCACAUGAGUGUGUAGGUGAGACCAAACAUUAGUGGUCUAACUCCUGCUCGCGUCCUGUAGGAUCCCUUGGGCUAUGGAGACAUGAUGCUGCUGUGCUGCUGCGUUACCGUGUCGCUGUGGGAUUGCUUUUACGGGUUUGGGGGUGCAUGCAUACAGGGCACCUGAAUCUUUUGUGAUGCUUACGUUGUAGCGGUCUCUCCUCGCUGCAAACUGGCGGUUUCUGUCUGAGACUCACAUGUGACAAGCUGUGGGCAGUAACGUUGCGGGGAAGUAAAAUUAAAAAAAAAAAAAAAAA